CCUUUCAGAAACCUGGCGUACAACAAGAUUCGCACCCUGGAAACGCCGUUCCUUGGUUUGGACGAACUGCUGAACAUAGAUCUGGAAGGGAAUCUGCUGGACUUCGUUCCUACUGAAACAUUUCAGCCACUGAAGAAGCUGCAAUCAUUAAACAUAAAGAAGAAUAUACUUCGAAGCUGCUCGCCACAAGUGUUCGCGCACCUCCAGAAUCUGACGCACAUGUAAGCGCCGUGGCUUUUAACGACGUUACAUAUAUUUUCCGCA
rnacentral:lncRNA from 1 species